GACGAACGCUGGCGGCGUGCCUAAUACAUGCAAGUCGAGCGGAUCCGAUGGAGUGCUUGCACUUCUGAUGGUUAGCGGCGGACGGGUGAGUAACACGUAGGCAACCUGCCUGCAAGCCCGGGAUAACAUUCGGAAACGAAUGCUAAGACCGGAUACGCAGCUUGGUCGCAUGACUGAGCUGGGAAAGACGGAGCAAUCUGUCGCUUGCAGAUGGGCCUGCGGCGCAUUAGCUAGUUGGUGAGGUAACGGCCCACCAAGGCGACGAUGCGUAGCCGACCUGAGAGGGUGAACGGCCACACUGGGACUGAGACACGGCCCAGACUCCUACGGGAGGCAGCAGUAGGGAAUCUUCCACAAUGGACGCAAGUCUGAUGGAGCAACGCCGCGUGAGUGAGGAAGGCCUUCGGGUCGUAAAGCUCUGUUGCCAGGGAAGAACGCCUAGGAGAGUAACUGCGCUUAGGGUGACGGUACCUGAGAAGAAAGCCCCGGCUAACUACGUGCCAGCCGCCGCCGUAACAC
rnacentral:rRNA from 1 species